rnacentral:rRNA from 1 species
ACGAACGCUGGCGGCUGCUUAACACAUGCAAGUCGAACGGAGUGGCGAACGGGUGAGUAACGCGUGAGCAACCUGCCUAUGACAGUGGGAUAGCCUCGGGAACCCGGGAUUAAUACCGCAUAGUCAUAGAUGGGCUCGCGUCUGAUUAGCUAGUUGGUGAGAUAACAGCCCACCAAGGCGACGAGCAGUAGCCGGUCUGAGAGGAUGAACGGCCACAUUGGAACUGAGACACGGUACAAACUCCGACGGGAGGCAGCAGUGGGGAAUCUUGCACAAUGGGGGGAACCCUGAUGCAGCGACGCCGCGUGAGCGAUGAAGGUUUUCGAAUCGUAAAGCUCUGUCCUAGGGGAAGCGGUACCAUAGGAGGAAGCCCCGGCUAACUACGUGCCAGCAGCCGCGGUAAUUC